UACGUAGGCAGCGAGCGUUGUUCGGAGUUACUGGGCGUAAAGGGUGCGUAGGCGGUUGUUUAAGUUUGGUGUGAAAUCUCCCGGCUCAACUGGGAGGGUGCGCCGAAUACUGAAUGACUAGAGUGCGGGAGAGGAGAGUGGAAUUCCUGGUGUAGCGGUGAAAUGCGUAGAUAUCAGGAGGAACACCGGUGGUGUAGACGGCUCUCUGGACCGUAGCUGACGCUGAGGCACGAAAGCGUGGGUAGCAAACAGG
rnacentral:rRNA from 1 species